UAAGGAAUAUUGGUCAAUGGGCGGAAGCCUGAACCAGCCAUGCCGCGUGCAGGAUGACUGCCCUAUGGGUUGUAAACUGCUUUUGUCCAGGAAUAAACCUAAAUACGUGUAUUUAGCUGAAUGUACUGGAAGAAUAAGGAUCGGCUAACUCCGUG
rnacentral:rRNA from 1 species